UACCGCACCGUGUCGGCAAGCAGAAAUGCCCCGAAUGUUACGAUUGGAGUACAUUGACAACACGUAGUGCGGUUUU
rnacentral:sRNA from 12 species